CCUACGGGGUGCAGCAGUGGGGAAUAUUGCGCAAUGGGCGAAAGCCUGACGCAGCGACGCCGCGUGAGGGAUGAAGGUCUUCGGAUCGUAAACCUCUGUCAGCAGGGAAGAACGGUCACUGUGCUAAUCAGCAGUGAAUUGACGGUACCUGCAAAGGAAGCACCGGCUAACUCCGUGCCAGCCGCCGCGGUAAUACGGAGGGUGCGAGCGUGAAUCGGAAUUACUGGGCGUAAAGCGCUCGUAGGCGGUAUGUCAAGUCAAGAGUGAAAUCCCCGCGCUCAACGUGGGAACUGCCUUUGAAACUGGCAAACUGGAGUGUGUGAGAGGAGAGUGGAAUUCCAGGUGUAGGAGUGAAAUGCGUAGAUAUCUGGAGGAACAUCAGUGGCGAAGGCGACUAUCUGGCACAUAACUGACGCUGAGGAGCGAAAGCGUGGGUAGCAAACAGGAUUAGAUACCCGAGUAGUC
rnacentral:rRNA from 1 species